UACGUAUGGUGCAAGCGUUGUCCGGAUUUAUUGGGCGUAAAGAGCUCGUAGGCGGUCUGUCGCGUCGGAUGUGAAAACCCAGGGCUCAACCCUGGGCCUGCAUUCGAUACGGGCAGACUAGAGUGUGGCAGGGGAGACUGGAAUUCCUGGUGUAGCGGUGAAAUGCGCAGAUAUCAGGAGGAACACCGGUGGCGAAGGCGGGUCUCUGGGCCAAUACUGACGCUGAGGAGCGAAAGCGUGGGGAGCGAACAGG
rnacentral:rRNA from 1 species